ACUUCUGCGCUUUUGUCAAUACAUAUCAAACGAAGGUACAGAGACCAUUUAUAGAAUAAAGGAGCUAACAUUGGAGCUUAUGGUCUAUUUGACCAAUUAUAAUUCCUCAGUUGUCAAAAUGGAGAAUGCCAAGAUUGAAGAAUGGUUUCAGUUCAUUUUUAACGAACUACUAAAUCCAGCAUCAUUUUUGUCAUCAAAUGAUGAUUUGGAAACGAGGAAUGAUCUUGUUCAAAGGAAAAGAAACUUAAUACUUGUACUUUUAGGGCUAGUCAGAAACGUUACAAGAGGAAAAGAGUAUUUUCUUACGGAUCAAUGG
rnacentral:sRNA from 1 species